AACGAACGCUGGCGGCGCGUUUUAAGCAUGCAAGUCGAGCGGUAAGCUAACUUCGGUUAGCCUAGAGCGGCGGACGGGUGAGUAACACGUGGAUAAUCUACCUCCUUGUUUGGGAUAGCUUGUGGAAACAUAAGGUAAUACCGAAUGAGAUUCAUUAGUCAAAAGGCUUUUGAAGGAAAGGCGCUGAGGCGUCGCAAGGAGAUGAGUCCGCGGCCCAUUAGCUAGACGGCAGGGUAAAAGCCUACCGUGGCAAUGAUGGGUAGCCGGCCUGAGAGGGUGAUCGGCCACAUUGGAACUGAGAUACGGUCCAG
rnacentral:rRNA from 1 species